rnacentral:rRNA from 1 species
GGUAACCUGCCCUUAAGUGGGGGAUAACAUUUGGAAACAGAUGCUAAUACCGCAUAGAUCCAAGAACCGCAUGGUUCUUGGCUGAAAGAUGGCGUAAGCUAUCGCUUUUGGAUGGACCCGCGGCGUAUUAGCUAGUUGGUGAGGUAAUGGCUCACCAAGGCGAUGAUACGUAGCCGAACUGAGAGGUUGAUCGGCCACAUUGGGACUGAGACACGGCCCAAACUCCUACGGGAGGCAGCAGUAGGGAAUCUUCCACAAUGGACGCAAGUCUGAUGGAGCAACGCCGCGUGAGUGAAGAAGGCUUUCGGGUCGUAAAACUCUGUUGUUGGAGAAGAAUGGUCGGCAGAGUAACUGUUGUCGGCGUGACGGUAUCCAACCAGAAAGCCACGGCUAACUACGUGCCAGCAGCCGCGGUAAUACGUAGGUGGCAAGCGUUAUCCGGAUUUAUUGGGCGUAAAGCGAGCGCAGGCGGUUUUUUAAGUCUGAUGUGAAAGCCCUCGGCUUAACCGAGGAAGCGCAUCGGAAACUGGGAAACUUGAGUGCAGAAGAGGACAGUGGAACUCCAUGUGUAGCGGUGAAAUGCGUAGAUAUAUGGAAGAACACCAGUGGCGAAGGCGGCUGUCUGGUCUGUAACUGACGCUGAGGCUCGAAAGCAUGGGUAGCGAACAGGAUUAGAUACCCUGGUAGUCCAUGCCGUAAACGAUGAAUGCUAGGUGUUGGAGGGUUUCCGCCCUUCAGUGCCGCAGCUAACGCAUUAAGCAUUCCGCCUGGGGAGUACGACCGCAAGGUUGAAACUCAAAGGAAUUGACGGGGGCCCGCACAAGCGGUGGAGCAUGUGGUUUAAUUCGAAGCAACGCGAAGAACCUUACCAGGUCUUGACAUCUUUUGAUCACCUGAGAGAUCAGGUUUCCCCUUCGGGGGCA